rnacentral:lncRNA from 1 species
CAUAUUCAAGAAAAAAAAGAUUGCUUCGAUUAAUCUAAGACAUAUUGAAGUAAGUGAAUAAAAGAGUAGACACAAAAUAAUAUUGUUUGUCUCAAUGGGUAUCUACAAAGAGAACAAUGAUGAACAGAGUUUGCCCUCCAAGAACUACCAUUGGUUCAUUUUCCAGGUCCUUACAUGGCAAAAUCACGGCACGAUCAUUUGCACUGAAGACACAACACUGCAUAUAGGUCAAUAAACAGCUUAUAAACUUAUGCAUAUCAGUAUAUGGUCAUUCUUUGAUCAUGGGUUUGUGAGAGCAUUAAACACACCAUUAAAUAGGUGUCACACCACAGCUGAUCUGCUGAAUAUAAACAAAGGCAUGAUGAAACCAAAGCCAGUGAAGAGAAAUCAACAACUGAUCUGCUUGAAAUAGAUGUAUGAUUCUACUAUACACCUUUAUUUGCACAUUUGCAACCAUUUCUACUCAUGCUUUGCUAUAAACAGCCGUAUGUCCGUCUAUCUGGAAGUGAACAAACAAGAAAAAAGUAAGAUACAUAUGUCUCCUGUACCUUCCAGCUACAGCUCCACCUUCCUGGAACUAUAGGUAGAAAACUAAAAUGAACUAUUAAAUUGCUCUUGCCUAUCUUGGAGGUACAGCUAUACACCUUAGGAAGAAAACAAAUUAUCUCACCUCUACCUUUACUCUUUGGUUCAUCUAAUAAGAACCAGCAGCAAAAGCUUUAUCAUGUAAACGGCAGCAGAACUCAGAACAUAAACAUCACCAAUCACAUCUCUUCUUGGCCAGCUGUUCAAUUCAUACCAACCAAUAAAUUUAAGCUUUCCCAUACCUUUCUUGCUUUCUUCUCAAUGACAGAUUAAAGAUAACAAGAUCAAGCUCAUAUAGUGAGUUGAAAAGC